GAUGAACGCUGGCGGCGUGCUUAACACAUGCAAGUCGAACGGUGAAGCAGAGCUUGCUCUGUGGAUCAGUGGCGAACGGGUGAGUAACACGUGAGCAACCUGCCCCUGACUCUGGGAUAAGCGCUGGAAACGGCGUCUAAUACUGGAUAUGAGCUGCGACCGCAUGGUCAGCAGUUGGAAAGAUUUUUCGGUCUGGGAUGGGCUCACGGCCUAUCAGCUUGUUGGUGAGGUAAUGGCUCACCAAGGCGUCGACGGGUAGCCGGCCUGAGAGGGUGACCGGCCACACUGGGACUGAGACACGGCCCAGACUCCUACGGGAGGCAGCAGUGGGGAAUAUUGCACAAUGGGCGAAAGCCUGAUGCAGCAACGCCGCGUGAGGGAUGACGGCCUUCGGGUUGUAAACCUCUUUUAGCAGGGAAGAAGCGAAAGUGACGGUACCUGCAGAAAAAGCGCCGGCUAACUACGUGCCAGCAGCCGCGGUAAUACGUAGGGCGCAAGCGUUAUCCGGAAUUAUUGGGCGUAAAGAGCUCGUAGGCGGUUUGUCGCGUCUGCUGUGAAAUCCCGAGGCUCAACCUCGGGUCUGCAGUGGGUACGGGCAGACUAGAGUGCGGUAGGGGAGAUUGGAAUUCCUGGUGUAGCGGUGGAAUGCGCAGAUAUCAGGAGGAACACCGAUGGCGAAGGCAGAUCUCUGGGCCGUUACUGACGCUGAGGAGCGAAAGGGUGGGGAGCAAACAGGCUUAGAUACCCUGGUAGUCCACCCCGUAAACGUUGGGAACUAGUUGUGGGGUCCAUUCCACGGAUUCCGUGACGCAGCUAACGCAUUAAGUUCCCCGCCUGGGGAGUACGGCCGCAAGGCUAAAACUCAAAGGAAUUGACGGGGACCCGCACAAGCGGCGGAGCAUGCGGAUUAAUUCGAUGCAACGCGAAGAACCUUACCAAGGCUUGACAUAUACGAGAACGGGCCAGAAAUGGUCAACUCUUUGGACACUCGUAAACAGGUGGUGCAUGGUUGUCGUCAGCUCGUGUCGUGAGAUGUUGGGUUAAGUCCCGCAACGAGCGCAACCCUCGUUCUAUGUUGCCAGCACGUAAUGGUGGGAACUCAUGGGAUACUGCCGGGGUCAACUCGGAGGAAGGUGGGGAUGACGUCAAAUCAUCAUGCCCCUUAUGUCUUGGGCUUCACGCAUGCUACAAUGGCCGGUACAAAGGGCUGCAAUACCGUGAGGUGGAGCGAAUCCCAAAAAGCCGGUCCCAGUUCGGAUUGAGGUCUGCAACUCGACCUCAUGAAGUCGGAGUCGCUAGUAAUCGCAGAUCAGCAACGCUGCGGUGAAUACGUUCCCGGGUCUUGUACACACCGCCCGUCAAGUCAUGAAAGUCGGUAACACCUGAAGCCGGUGGCCCAACCCUUGUGGAGGGAGCCGUCGAAGGUGGGAUUGGUAAUUAGGACUAAGUCGUAACAAGGUAGCCGUACCGGAAGG
rnacentral:rRNA from 2 species